rnacentral:hammerhead_ribozyme from 1 species
ACACUGCUGACGAGUCCAAAACAGGACGAAACGGCUGUCCAGUAC